UACGAAGGGGGGCUAGCGUUGCUCGGAAUCACUGGGCGUAAAGCGCACGUAGGCGGCUUUCUAAGUCAGGGGUGAAAUCCUGGAGCUCAACUCCAGAACUGCCUUUGAUACUGGAGAGCUUGAGUCCGGAAGAGGUGAGUGGAACUCCGAGUGUAGAGGUGAAAUUCGUAGAUAUUCGGAAGAACACCAAUUGCGAAGGCAGCUCGCUGGGACGUUACUGACGCUGAGACGCGAAAAGCGUGGGGAGCAAACAGG
rnacentral:rRNA from 1 species